UCUCCCUCUCUGCCUCUGAUACACAGUUUCUCCUAUUCUCGCCUCUGUGGGGCUCUCCUGUUUCCUUUCCAUCCCCACCUUCACUGGCCUUCCUGGCCUUCUCUCCAUCACCCCGCAAGCUCUCUCCUAUCGCCUCCAGACCCCCAAGUCCUUCCCAGCUCUGCCUCUCCACGCCUGCUCCCUCCUUUCCAGACAGUUUCUCUGCCUGUUGUCGCCCUUCUCUCUCCUCUCUGCUCCCACCAGCUCCUGGGUUCUGACAGCCCUACCCGCACCCACCCCACCCACCCCACCACUCCUGCUGUCCCCUCACCUCCUGGUCCCGGUCCCUGUCCCCCUCCUGCGUCCUGUCCUCUUAUUGACUCCAACAGCUGCAGCUGCAGAGGCGGGACAGGGAGGGCUCCUCCUCUGCUGGGAUAUUUUUACCCUGCCUUGGACCAUCAGAACAAUUGGUCCUGCAAUGUUUCACCCUUUGGGAAACUCAUUUCACGUCCUGCCAGGUCCCGGGACCAUCCGCUCGCGUGUCUCCACAGCUGCACAUUCCCGUCCGUCUGCAGCUAACUGUCUGGGCCACGGGGUGUUAACCAUGACUUGGAAGGAUAUGCCGUCACACGGGAGUCACAAAGUGGACAGCAGGAAACCCAGCCUGCCCUCUUCUGCCUUCCUCAUCUCUCUGUCUACUCUGUUCUUGUUAAUAUCAGUGCUUCCAUGAGUCUGGUCUUUGCCUUGUUUUACUAACACAGUGAGCACAGGCGCUCAUAGUCUGCGUCUGAUUUUCCAGCAGCGGAGGCCUCUGCAGUCCGCCCCGCCGUCCCGCUGGCUCUUGCUCACUGUCUCUCCCUUCCCUGCUAGCCUGGUCGCUUGCGCCCUGCUCUGCGUGUUGGAUCUGAAAAGGAAGUAAGGGACCAGGUGGAGGGCAUGUUUCUCUGAUCCCACCCACCCCAGGUAGCCCAGGUGAGGGACCUGGGUCCCUCUGUCACCCAGGCUGUCCACACAGAAGUCCAGAUGGCCCAGACCAAGAGAUCCCUGGAACCAAGGACAUGAAACUCCCGCUUCACCAAUAUGGGCUCCAGCGUCCCUGCGCGCUGACCCACGUCUUCCUUACGGCCUUGUUUGCAGUUUGAUGCUAUGAAGAUUGCUAAGAACAUUUUAUCCAGGUUCCUACUUGUUUUCGGCUAUGGGGCUGGGGCAGGAGUGACAACCUGUCUCGGUGUUAGUGGAUGAGAAGUCGGGUGUGGCUUUGCUUUUUGCGCCUUUUAUCUUGCCAUUGGCUCUCCCGCCCCAUCACACACACCCCUACUCUGACACUUCUGCCUCUCGGGCAAACUUCUCUCCAGUUCCCUUCCACUCCCCCUUCACUUCUCUCUGCUCCUCUUCCCCCAGGUCAGAGCUCAGCAAUUCCUCGCUCUUUAUGUUCUCCUGACCUCUCGGGCAGCUGCCUCUGUCCUGUUCUGUCUCCUGCUCUCCCUCCCCCCAGCUCCUUCCCUUCCUCCUCUGUCGCCCCUUCCACAGCUGCUCUUUCCUCCCCCUCCCCAUCCUCUCUCCCCCUGGGUCACAGAGACGGCCUGGGGUGGCUGCGCCCCAUUGAGGCAGGGAGUGUCUCUGACGCUGGUGGACAUUUCUGCUGCGUGGCCCAGUUCCCAGCCUGGACUUGCUGGGUCUGGCUGCCUGGCCCUCUCCCUGCCUCGCACCACCUCCUCACCUGCUUCACGUUCCUGCUACCUGCCCCGGUCUCUAGGCUGACGCUGUUCUAGGGGUGCCACCCUCAGCUGGAGGGGCACUGUCCUCUGUCCCCAACCAUUUCCAACCACCCAUCUCCCUUCUCUCUCUUGCUCUCCCACACUCACACACCUCUUCUGUCCUCUCUGUUUCUUUCUUGCUCACUCACCCAGGCUGGAGUGCAGUGGUACAGCCUCAACGUCCCAGGCUCCAGUGGUCCUCCCACCUCAGCCUCCCAAGUGUUGGGACCACAGGUGUGAGCCACUGCACACCUAUUCUCUGCCCUUUUUAGUAUUUUUUCCUUUGUCCCUUCAGUCUCCCUUCCCUCCCAGUGUCUGUCUCUCUCACCCUCUCUCCUCUCCAGCCCUCUCCUACCCUCCUGUCCUCCCCUCUCCCCGCUGUCCCCCUCCAUCAGCUCUGCUGUCUCUGCCCCCCUCCAACAGCUCCGCUGUCUCUGCCCUGCUUCCAUCAGCUCCGCUGUCUCUGCCCGCCCCUCCAUCAGCUCCGCUGUCUCUGCCUCCCUCCAUCAGCUCCGCUGUCUCUGCCCUGCUUCCAUCAGCUCCGCUGUCUCUGCCCGCCCCUCCAUCAGCUCCGCUGUCUCUGCCUCCCUCCAUCAGCUCCGCUGUCUCUGCCCUGCUUCCAUCAGCUCCGCUGUCUCUGCCCGCCCCUCCAUCAGCUGCGCUGUCUCUGCCCCCCACUCCAUAGCUCCACUGGCUGCCCCCCCCAUCAGCUCCACUAUCUCUAACCCCCCCAUCAGCUCCGCUGUCUCUGCCCCCGCUCCAUCAGCUCCACUGUCUCUAACCCCCACUCCAUCAGCUCUGCUGUCUCUGCCCCCACCUCCAUCAGCUCCACUGUCUCUAACCCCCCCUCUAUCAGCUUCACUGUCUCUGCCUCUCCCGUUUGUUUCCUCUCUUCCUGUUCUUUUUUCUCACUGUCCUCUCUGCUGCCACCCUCCUCUUUCUCACUUCUCUCCCUGUCCAGUUCUCUUCUCUCCUGUGCCCCUUCUAGCACAUUCUCUGGCUUUUCUUCUCCUCUCCCUCUGUCCUCCUCCCUCCUCCUCUCCAUCCUUUCUCUCCUCCCUGCCACUCUCCUCUCUGUGCCCUUUUCUAUUCUGUCUCACAGUCCCCUAGCUUUCUUUUCCUUCCUGUUCCUGGCUCUCUCCUUUUUCUCUCCUCUUGCUGGAGCUUCCCGCUCUUCCCUCCCUCCCUCCCUCCCUCCCUCUCCCUGGGCAGUCGGCCCCUCUCCCUCAUGUCCAUCUCCCUGGGCUGCUCCCUCCUUCACCCAUUUCUCUGCCUCCCUCUUCUCAGAGCUCACCAGCCGUGGCUCCUACCCUCUCCCUGUCUCCUUCCUGUCCCUUUUUUCACUCCAUCUUUCUUUUCCCCUUCUGCCUUUUCUUCUCUUUCCACUUCUGGCCCCCCACUCUUGUCUCCUUUCUCCGUCUUCCUCUUUCCUCUCCCCUCUGGCUGUCCCUUCUUCCUUUUUUUUUCCUUUUAAAGAGACGGGUCUCAUUAUGUUGCCCAGGCUGGAGUGCAGUGGUUAUUCACAGGCUCAAUCCCACUGCUCAUCAGCACGGGAGUUUUGACCUGCUCUGUUUCCAACCUGGGCUGGUUCACCCUCCUUAGGCAACCUGGUGGUCCCCUACUCCUGGGAGGUCACCAUAUUUUUUUAAAAAAAUUUAUUAAAUUUAUUGUACUUUAGGUGCAUACUAUACCUGGCAUUUCUCCCCAUGUUAUCCCUCCUCUCCCUCCCCACCUCCCAAUGUCUCACCUAGCCCCCUGCAACUGCCCACAGUGUGUGAUGCUCCUGUCCCUGAGUCCAUGUGUUCUCAUUGUUCAACACCCACUAGGAGUGAGAACAUUCGGUGUUUGGCUUUCUGUUCUUGUGUCAGUUUGCUGAGAAUGAUGGUUUCCAGAUUCAUCCAAGUCCCUACAAAGGACAUGAACUCAUCGUUUUUUAUGGCUGCAUAGUAUUCUGUAGUGUGUAUGUACCACAUUUUCUUUGUCCAGUCUAUCAUUGAUGGGCAUUUGGGUUGGCUCCAGGUCUUUGCUAUUGUACACAGGGCUGCAAUGAACAUAUGUGUGCAUGUGUCUUUAUAAUAGAAUGAUUUAUAGUUUUGGGGUAUAUACCCAGUAAUGGGAUUGCUGGGUCAAAUGGAAUUUCUAUUUCUAGAUCCUUGAGAAGUCGCCACACUGUUGACAAACAUUGUCUUCCACAAUGUCUGAACUAACUUACGCUCACUCCUACCAACUGUGUAACAGUGUUCCUAUUUCUCCACAUCCUCUCCAGCAUCUGUUUCCAGAUUUUUUUUUUUUUUUUUUUUUUGAGACGGAGUUUCGCUCUUGUUACCCAGGCUGGAGUGCAAUGGCACAAUCUCCGCUCAUCGCAAUCUCUGCCUCCUGGGCUCAGGCAAUUCUCCUGCUUCAGCCUCCUGAGUAGCUGAGAUUACAGGCACACGCCACCAUGCCCAGCUAAUUUUUUGUAUUUUUAGUAGAGACGGGGUUUCACCAUGUUGACCACGAUGGUCUUGAUCUCUUGACCUCGUGAUCCACCCGCCUCAGCCUCCCAGAGUGCUGGGAUAACAGGCAUGAGCCACCGUGUUUCCAGAUUUUUUUAAUGCCAUUCUAACUGGCGUGAGAUAUCUCAAUGUGGUUUUGAUUUGCAUUUCUCUAAUGACCAGUGAAGAUGAGCAUUUUUUCAUGAUUUUUGGCCUCAUAUAUGUCUUCUUCUGAAAAGUGUCUGUUCGCCGGGCGCGGUGACUCACUCCUGUAAUGCCAGCACUUUGGGAGGCCGAGGCGGGUGGAUCACGAGGUCAAGAGAUUGAGACCAUCCUGGUCAACAUAGUGAAACCCCGUCUCUACUAAAAAUACAAAAAAAUUAGCUGGGCAUGGUGGCAUGUGCCUGUAGUCCCAGCUACUCAGGAGGCUGAGGCAGGAGAAUUGCCUGAACCCAGGAGGCAGAGGUUGCGGUGAGCCAAGAUCACGCCAUUGCACUCCAGCCUGGGUAACGAGAGAAACUCCAUCUCAAAAAGAAAAGAAAAGUGUCUGUUCAUAUCCUUCGCCCACUUUUGAAUGGGGUUGUUUUCUUCUUGUAAAUCUGUUUCAAUUCCUUGUAGAUUCUGGUUAUUAGCCCUUUGUCAGAUGGGUAGAUUGCAAAAAUUUUUUCCUGUUCUGCUGGUUGCCAAUUCGCUCUAAUGAUGGUUUCUUUUGCUGUACAGAAGCUCUGGAGUUUAAUUGAUCCCAUUUGUCUAUCUUGGCUUUUAUUGCCAUUGCUUUUGGUGUUUUAGUCAUGAAAUCCUUGCCUAUGCCUAUGUCCUCGAUGGUUUUGCCUACGUUUUCUUCUACUGUUUUUAUGGGGUUAGGUUUUAUUUAAAUCUUUGAUCCAUCUGGAGUUAAUUUUAGUGUCAGGUGACAGGUAGGGGUCCAGUUUCUGCUUUUUGCACAUUGCUAGCCAGUUUUCUCAACACUAUUUAUUAAACAUGAGUCCUUUCCCCAUUGCUUGUUUUGCCAGGUUUGUCAAAGAUCAGAUGGUUGUAGAUGUGUGGUGUUUCUUCUGGGGUCUCUGUUCUGUUCCAUUGGUCUGUGUCUCUGUUUUGGUACCAUGCUGUUUUGAUUACUGUAGCCUUGUAGUAUAGUUUGAAGUCUGGCAGUGUGAUACCUCCAGCUUUGUUCUUUUUGCUUAGGAUUGUCUUGGCUAUGCGGAGUCUUUUGUGAUUCCACAUGAAGUUUUAAGUGUUUUUUUCCAGUUCUGUGAAGAAGGCAAUUGGUAGCUUGAUGGGGAUAGCAUUGAAUCUAUAAUUACUUUGGGCAGUAUGGCCAUUUUCAUGAUAUUGAUUCUUCCUAACCAUGAGCAUGGAAUGUUUCUCCAUCUGUUCAUGUCCUCUCUUAUUUUGUUGAGCAGUGGUCUGUAGUUCUCCUUGAAGAGGUCCUUCACAUCCUUUGUUAGUUGUAUUCCUAGGUAUUUUAUUCUCUUUGUAGCAAUUGUGAAUGGGAGUUUGCUCUUGAUAUGGCUGUUUGUCUGUUAUUGGUAUAUAGGAAUGCUUGUGAUUUCUGCACAUUUAUUUUAUAUCCUGAGUCUUUGCUGAAGUUGCUUAUCAGCUUGAGAUUUUGGGCUGAGAUGACGGGGUCUUCUAGAUAUACAAUCAUGUCACCUGCAAAUAGAGACUGUUUGACUUCCUCCUUUUCUAAUUGAAUACCCUUUAUUUCUUUUUCUUGCCUGAUUGCUCUAGCUAUAACUUCCAGUACUAUGUUGAAUAGGAGUGGUGAGAGGGCAUCCUUGUCUAUUGCCCGAUUUCAAUGGGAAUUCUUCCAGCUUUUGCCCAUUCAGUAUAUUGGCUGUAGGUUUGUCAUAUAUAGCUUUUAUCAUUUUAUGAUACGUUCCGUCAAUACCUAGUUUACUGAGAGUUUUUAGCAUGAAGCACUGUUGAAUUUUAUCGAAGGCCUUCUCUGCAUCUAUUGAGAUAAUCGUGCUUUUUGUCUUUGGUUCCGUUUAUGUUAUGGAUUACAUUUAUGGAUUUGCGUAUGUUGAACCAGCUUUGCAUCCCCAGGAUGAAGCCUAUUUGGUCAUGAUGAAUAGGUCGCUUCUUGAUGUGCUACUGCAAUCUGUUUGUCAGUAGUUUAUUGAAGAUUUUUGCGUCAAUGUCCAUCAUGGACAUUGGCCUGAAGUUUUCUUUUUUAGUUGUGUCUCUGCCUGGUUUUGGUAUCAGGAUGAUGUUGGUCUCAUAAAAUGACUUAGGGAGGAUUCCCUCAUUUUGUAUUGUUUGAUACAGUUUCAGAAGGUAUGGAACCAGCUCUUCUUUGUACGUCUGGUAGAAUUUGGCUGUGAACCUGUCUGGACCUGGGCUUUCUUUGGUUGGUAGGCUAUCGAUUGCUGCCUCUACGUCAGCCCUUGUUAUUGGUCUAUUCAGGAUUUCAGCUUCCUCCUGGUUUAGUCUUGGUAGAGUACAGGUGUCUAGGAAUUUAUCCAUUUCUUCUUGGUUUACUGGUUUAUGUGAGUAGAGCUGUUUGUAAUAAUCCCUGAUGGUAGUUUGUAUUUCUGUGGGAUCAGUGGUGAUAUCCCCUUUAUCAUUUUUUAUUGCAUCUAUUUGAUUCUUCUCCCUUUUCUUUUUUAUUAAUCUGGCUAGCAGUGAUCUUUGAAGGGUUUUUUGUCUCUAUCUUCAGUUCUGCUCUGAUCUUAGUUAUUUCUUGUCUUCUGCUAGCUUUUGAGUUUUUUUAUCUUGCUCCCCAAGCUCUUUCAAUUUUGAUGAUAGGGUACUGAUUUUAGAACUUUCCUCUCUUCUCUGGUGAGCAUUUAUUGCUAUAAUUUCCCUCUCAGCACUGCUUUAAAGGUGUCCCAGAGAUUCUGGUAAGUUGUGUCUUCAUUCUGGUUGGUUUCGAAUAACAUCUUUAUUUCUGCCUUCAGUUCAUUGUUUAUCCAGUCAACAUUCAGAAGCAAGUUGUUCAGUUUCCAAGUGGCUGUGCGGGUUUGAGUGUGUUUCUUCAUCCUGAGUUCUAGUCUGAUUGUGCUGUGGUCUGAAAGAUUGUUAUUCCUGUUCUUUUGCAUUUGCCGAGGAGUGAUUUGCUUCCAAUGAUGUGAUCAAUUUUAUAGUAAGUGCAAUGUGGUGCUGAGGAAAAUGUAUAUUCUGUGGAUUUGGGGUGGAGCAUUCUGUAUAUGUCUAUUAGGUCCACUUGGUCCAGCUCUGUAUUCAAGUCCUGGAUGUCCUUGUUAAUUUUCUGGCUCGUUGAUCUAAUAUUGACAGUGGAGUAUUGAAUUCUCCCACUAUUAUUGUGUGGGAGUCUAAAUCUCACUUUUGGUCAUUAAAAGCUUGCUUUACGUAUCUGCAUGCUCCUGUGCUGGGGGUGUAUAUAUUUAGGAUAGUUAGCUCUUCCUGUUGGAUUGAUCCUUUUACCAUUAUGUAGUGUCCUUCUCUAUUGAUCUUUGUUGAAGUCCAUUUUAUCAGAGACUAGGAUUGCAACCCCUGCUGUUUUUUGUUCUCCAUUUGCUUGGUAAAUCUUCUUCCAUCCCUUUGAGUCUAUGUGUGUCUUUGUAUGUGAGAUGGGUUUCCUGAAUACAGCACACCAAUGGGUUGUGACUUUUUAUCCAGUUUGCCAGUCUGUGUCUUUUGAUUGGGGUGUUUAGGCCAUUUACAUUCAAUGUUAAUAUUGUUAUGUGUGAAUCUGAUCCUGCCAUUUUGUUACUGGCUGGUUUUCUUUCCCAUUAGUUGACUCAUUUUCUUCAUUGCAUUUUUGGUCUUUGCCAAUUGGUUUGCUUUUGGAGUGACUGGUACUUGUUCCUUUCCAUGCUUAGUGUUUCUUUCAGGAGCUCUUGUAGGGCAGGUCUGGUGGUGACAAAAUCUCUCAAUAAUUGCUUGUCCUUAAAGGAUUUUAUUUCUCCUUCACUUACAAAGCUUAGUUUGGCUGGAUAUGAGAUUAUGGGUUUAAAGUUCCUUUUUAAGGAUGUUGGAUAUUGGCCCCCACUCUCUUCUGGCUCGUAGGGUUUCUGCCAAGAAAUCUGCUGUGAGUCUGACUGGCUUCCCUCUGUAGGGGACCUGACCUUUCUCUCUGGCUUCCCUUAGCAUUUUUUCCUUCAUUUCAACCUGGUGAAUUUGAUGAUUAUGUGACUUGGUGUUGCUCUUCUUGAGGAAUAUCUUGGUGGAGAUCUCUGUAUUUCUUGAAUUUAAAUGUUGGGCUGCCUUGCUAUGCUUGGGAAGUUCUCCUGGAUACUAUCCUGAGCAUGUUUUCCAGCUUGGAUUCAUUCUCCCCAUCAAAUUCAGGUACACCAAUCAAGCGUAGAUUAGGUCUUUUCACGUAAUUCCAUAUUUCCUGGAAGCUUUAUUUCUUUUCACUCUUUUGUCUCGUCUUGCCUUCUCUUUUUAUUUCAUUGAGUUGAUCUUCAAUCUCUGAUAUCCUUUCUUCUGCUUGAUCGAUUCAGCUAUUAAAACUGGUGUUUGCACCGGGCGCAGUGGCUCACGUCUGUAAUCCCAGCACUUUGGGAGGCCGAGGCAGGCAGAUCACGAGGUCAAGAGAUGAGACCAUCCCGGUCAACAUGGUGAAACCCCGUCUCUACUAAAAAUACAAAAAAUUAGCUGGGCAUGGUGGCACGUGCCUGUAAUCCCAGCUACUCAGGAGGCUGAGGCAGGAGAAUUGCCUGAACCCAGGAGGCAAAGGUUGCAGUGAGCCGAGAUCACACCAUUGCACUCCAGCCUGGGUAACAAGAGCGAAACUCUGUCUAAAAAAAAUAAAAUAAAACUUGUGUUUGCUUCAGGUAGUUCUCGUGCUGUUUUUUCAACUCCAUCAAGUUGUUUAUGUUCUUCUCUAGGCUGGUGGUUCUAGUUAGCAUUCUGUCUAACCUUUUUUCAAGGUUUUCGGUUUCUUUGAGUUGGAACAUGUUCCUUUAGCUCUGAAAAGUUACUAUCCACCUUCUGAAUCCUGUUUCUGUCAAUUCUUCACACUCCUUUUUGGUCAAGUUGUGAUCCUGUGUUGUUGAGUUGUGAUCCCUGGAAGGAGAAGAGGUAUUCUGCUCUUUGAUGGUUUCACCUUUUUUGCACUGGUUUUUUCUCAUCUUUGUGGAUUUACCUGGCUGUGGUGUCAGAGAGCAGCUUGAUGAUGUCGCUUGUUUGCCUGUGGAGGCACUACUGGGUUUCUAGGGACUCCAUCAGGUUACUAGGGAAGGUUCCUGUGUCUUGUUUAUACUGGGAGAUCAGGCCCACCUCUUCUGCUGACCUGUACGCACUGCUAGGUUGUCAAGAACACUGUCCCUUUGCUACAUAGGCUUCCUGUGUAUUUUGUUAAAACGUAACCCAGUCCCUUCCUCCACUGGGCUGGAUCAUUCAGGGUUCAUCUCAGACUGUGGCACUGGCUGCACAACUGACUAGAGUUAGGGCUUCAGGCCUCUGGGGUUUGUUGGUGAGGGUAGGGACCCCCCCUAGCCACACCCAGCUGUCUCCCCCUUUCAGCUUCCUCUCUCUCCGGUCAUGGGGUAGGGGCCUACCCAGUUACUCCCACUUGCAGCUCCCUCCCUCUCUGGCCAGUGGGGGGGGGCAGCGGCGAUAGCUCAAUAUGCAGGCUCUUACUCAACUCCGUGCGUGUAAUUCCCAGCGCUUAACUAGCAAAGAUCCCCUGUUCCAUGUAUUGCUGAGGCUUUAGGGGAAGUGCUGUAUCUGGACCGGAGGGCCAGAGGGGGAGCCUCCAACUCACUGGUCAGAUGUACUUUCUGGGUGAAGCAGCACCCCUCCCCGCCCCGGUCUGCCCUAAGUGGGCUUUGCUCACCAUUGGACCAGACCCAUUGAAAUGCACCUGGUACCUCAGUUGGAGCUAGGAGAUCUCUGGAUUUCUGCAUCUCUUGCUGGUUGUUGUGUCUAAUCGGCCAUCUUGGAUCUUCCUGAGGUCACCAUAUUGAUGCCAAACUUAGUGCGGACACCCGACUGGCAUAGCGCACUACAGCUCAGAACUCCUGGGCUCAAGCGAUCCUCCCACCUCAGCCUCCUGAGUAGCUGGGACUCAGGCUCAUGCCACCAACUCCUCCUGCUUUUUUCCUGAACUUUCGCCUCCCUCCUUUCCUCCCUGUUUCUCCAGUUUCAUCUCCACCUCUUUCUCUCCUCUCCUCUGACUCUGUCUUUUCCUCUUCUCUGGACCUGUCUCCUCUCCUUGCUCCUGUCUCCUCCAGAGCUACCACUCCCACUGGCCUCCCUCCUCGGCGCCUCCUCUCCAUCUCCAGGUGGCCCCUGCAUCCCUGCCCGGUGGGCCUUUGCCUCCCUCUCCCAUUCCUGCCUUGGCUGCUCCUAGGUUUCCAGGUACUGACCAGGAGGCAGGAGUCCACACUGAGGCCCAAACAGGCUAGCCCUGAGCAGGCCCCAAGCCUGAGGCCCAGGAGUGGACACACACCUUUGUGACUCCCAUUCUAUUUCUCUUUUCCAUCUGUCUGGAACUCUGGACACUGCCUGGAGGAAUCAGGCCUGCUCUAGGCCCAGGAAGGUGGAAACAAAGAAAAUGCUCGGAGACAGGAAGCAACUUGCCUAAAGAUACACAGCAUAUAAGAAAACGGUGCCCAGUGUUUCUGAAGAGCAGCAACUGCCAGGACAGGGACUUGGAAGGAACCUGACAAUACCUGAGGGACCAACAGCGCCCCCUGAAGGACAUGGAGAGAAGCCACAGGAGCCAACCUGAGGCAUUCUGAGUGCGUGGAAUCCUCUCUCAUCACCUACUACUGGCAAAGAAUGGAACUGCAACCCAGCUGUAUGAGACACUGAGAAUAAUCCCAACCAAAAGGAACAGUGACCAGAAUGCCUGGGGAAGGAACAGGGAAUACUGGGUGCAAGGAGGGGGGAGGGAGAAUUUGUAACAUUUUGUAAAAAUGAACAUUUUUUACUCCUAAUCAAUACAUAAACAUCAUGCUCAGCAAACUGGUAUGAAACUCCUGAACUUCUUGCACAUUUUCAGGUCAUUCUGUGGGUGGGUGGAUUGGCUCCCAUGGAAAUGCAAGUAGGGGUGUCUAUGGCAAACAAAGGAAAAUGGACAUUUGUUCACACAAACCUGUCUGGGGAGACUGCAUUACAGGAAAUGGACCAAACUGAGUUUGUUUCCUUUGUAACAACACUGCUGUGCCUUGCUGACUGGAAGGCGAGUACAAGCAGAGGAGGAUGGACUGACA